UGGCAGGAGUGGAGCUGGGAGCAGCUGGCCAGGAGGACCUCUGUGGCCACCCCUGGACACCAAAGAGCACAGCCAGCAGGCCACUCUUCUGCCUCUUCACGUCACUCAGGCCAGAUGUAAAGGCAGUGUCUUCCAGAAGAUGCACCACCCCCUGCCCUGGCUCUAGACAUCCAGAGACCACGUUGGAGCCGUGCCGCAGACUCUCAGACCAGAGUUUCCACUCCAGAACUCUCGCCUGACCUCUGGUCCUGUACCUCCAGCAGCUUGUGGAAUCUCAGACUCAAAUACCAACUCAUCACAGGGUGCAGAAUGUCAAAGAAACUCAGGGCCCACCCCAACCACCUGAGGAUGACACUCACAAUCAAAACCACAUACAUGGCUUCUACCACACACGCGCGCAGCCCUUGAGCUGAGGGUGUUACACACAGUACUGCAUUCCAUCUUCACAGACACUGUGAGGUCGCAUGCCCUGGAGGUUAAGAGCAAGGAGUCCGAGCUACAAGGGCAGAGUUGAGUCGUUGCAACACAGAUGUAAAUGUAUGGCUCACGAAGUCCUCUGAGGGUUGGCUGCCAUUAUGAUGAUUACACAGACGAACAACAGCGGGUCCCAGGCCAUCCAGCCGAAAGAAAAUUUCCAAGUCAUCUGCCUUUGAAAUUAAAUAGAAAGUAUGAAAUGAACUCAGUACCUUGCUGUGUGACCUCAG
rnacentral:lncRNA from 1 species